UACGUACGAGGCGAGCGUUAUCCGGAAUUACUGGGCGUAAAGCGCGCGCAGGCGGAUGUUUAAGUAGGGCGUGAAAUCUCCCGGCCUAACUGGGAGGGGUCGCUCUAGACUGGGCGUCUUGAGGACAGCAGAGGUGGGUGGAAUUCCUGGUGUAGUGGUGAAAUGCGUAGAGAUCAGGAGGAACACCAACGGCGAAGGCAGCUCGCUGGGACGGUACUGACGCUGAGGCGCGAAAGCGUGGGGAGCGAACAGG
rnacentral:rRNA from 1 species